UUUCCAUUAAGUAGUCCCGUACGUUGAAAUUUUCACGUACGGUUUGGACAAUAUGGAGAAAUGAAUGUUACUCUUUUUGCAAUGACGCUGAAACAUAUUUUCGCUUUGUUAGCCAUAAGUUUAAAACAAUU
rnacentral:sRNA from 15 species